AGUGAACGCUGGCGGUAGGCCUAACACAUGCAAGUCGAACGGCAGCACAGUAAGAGCUUGCUCUUACGGGUGGCGAGUGGCGGACGGGUGAGGAAUACAUCGGAAUCUACUUUUUCGUGGGGGAUAACGUAGGGAAACUUACGCUAAUACCGCAUACGACCUACGGGUGAAAGCAGGGGAUCUUCGGACCUUGCGCGAUUGAAUGAGCCGAUGUCGGAUUAGCUAGUUGGCGGGGUAAGGGCCCACCAAGGCGACGAUCCGUAGCUGGUCUGAGAGGAUGAUCAGCCACACUGGAACUGAGACACGGUCCAGACUCCUACGGGAGGCAGCAGUGGGGAAUAUUGGACAAUGGGCGAAAGCCUGAUCCAGCCAUGCCGCGUGGGUGAAGAAGGCCUUCGGGUUGUAAAGCCCUUUUGUUGGGAAAGAAAAGCAGCAGGUUAAUACCCCGCUGUUCUGACGGUACCCAAAGAAUAAGCACCGGCUAACUUCGUG
rnacentral:rRNA from 1 species